AACAUCAUUUUUAAAUCGCCAAUGCAAUACCAUGAUAAGGGUCUUUUUUCUUAAUUAAGAACCUGAGAGAGAUUCAUUUACUAUGUCUCUUUGAAAAAUACUUUCUUCUCGUUUGGUAUUUGUUUAGCGUAGAUUAAUAGAACGUUGCUGGGCGCCUGAUGUUGAUUCAAUAUAUGAGACAUUGGGAAUCAGCUGUAUCCACAUUU
rnacentral:snoRNA from 24 species